UACAGAGGGUGCAAGCGUUGCUCGGAAUCAUUGGGCGUAAAGGGUAGGUAGGUGGUCUCAUUUGUCUGGGGUGAAAGCCCAGGGCUUAACCCUGGAAGUGCCCCGGAAACGGUGAGACUGGAGUACUGGAGAGGGUCGUGGAAUUCCUGGUGUAGCGGUGGAAUGCGCAGAUAUCAGGAGGAACACCAAUAGCGAAGGCAGCUCGCUGGGACGGUACCGACGCUAAGGCGCGAAAGCGUGGGGAGCGAACAGG
rnacentral:rRNA from 1 species